UAAAACAAUGACCAUGGGCCUGUAAAUGAUCUCAUGCUGUCGAGCGCGGAGCAAGAUCCGCGGUCCUCACUGAGUUUUGAACUUACAUCUGGGGUGAAGAGGAACUUGAUUCCAUCCACCGAGCCUUUGAGAGUGAGUCCUCUGAUGAGAAAGAUCGUCAGCACCAAGUAGGGCAGGGUGGAUGUGAUGUAGACGGCCUUUGACCAGAGGAGAGAGCACGAGGACACUGACUCCAUGGGAGAGGAUCCUGGAAGGAGUUGAAGAGGUACCACAUGAUCCAAGCCAUGAUGGUGUUGUAGUAGACCCCCACCAAGAAAGAGGGGAUCUCACCCACCAACUCCAGUCAGAUAGGGGUUGAUCGACCUCCAGACGCCCACGCUUCCUUUCCUCAAGCGUUGGCCGAUGGCAAACUCCAGGUGAAGCAGAGGGAUGCCCUCCAGGACCAGUAGAAUGAGGAAUGGGAUCAUGAAGGCUCCUGAACGGGACAGUGUCACGUCACAUGGUCUGGUGAAGGAGUGGUUCCAACUGAGGAUUGGAUCCAUGAAAAUCACAAAAUUGGAAGUAAUUGGAAGUAAGACAGGAAGUGACUCUGACUCAGUCCCACUCAUUUGAGAGGUUCCAGCCGGUGUUAGGAUUUGCUCUGACAAAAAUAUGUGAAAGUCAGGCAUCAGGAAAAUGGAUUCCCCUUGUUCCUCUUAUUCCAAAGUGGCAAAUGUUUAGUUCUGAGGGACAAUUGAAGCAGAAGCAUUACACACAAUCACAUCCCAAGGUGGUAGUGUUGUAGUCAAGACCAGAGCAUACUGAGACCAAAUUCAAAUGCUUUUCAUAAUAAA